rnacentral:rRNA from 1 species
ACUGUCUUAAAUUUAUUUUUAUUUAAAUUUAAUUUUUAAGUUAAAAAGCUUAAAUAUUUUUAAAGGACGAGAAGACCCUAUAGAGUUUUAUAAAUAAAUUAAUUUUUAUUUUUAAUUUAUUUAAAAAUUAAUUUAUUUAUUUUGUUGGGGCGAUGGAAAAAUUUAAUUAACUUUUUUAAAUUUAUUAUCAUUGAUUUAUGAAUUAUUUUUGAUCCUUAAUUA